AUUGAACGCUGGCGGAAUGCUUUACACAUGCAAGUCGAACGGUAGAGGGGCAACCCUCGAGAGUGGCGAACGGGUGAGUAAUGUAUCGGAACAUGCCCAAUCGUGGGGGAUAACGUAGCGAAAGUUACGCUAAUACCGCAUACGAUCUACGGAUGAAAGCGGGGGAUCGCAAGACCUCGCGCGAUUGGAGUGGCCGAUAUCAGAUUAGGUAGUGGGUGGGGUAAAGGCCUACCAAGCCGACGAUCUGUAGCUGGUCUGAGAGGACGACCAGCCACACUGGGACUGAGACACGGCCCAGACUCCUACGGGAGGCAGCAGUGGGGAAUUUUGGACAAUGGGCGCAAGCCUGUUCCAGCCAUUCCGCGUGCAGGAAGAAGGCCUUCGGGUUGUAAACUGCUUUUGUACGGAACGAAACGCGCUGUGCUAAUACCACGGCGUAAUAACGGUACCGUAAGAAUAAGCACCGGCUAACUACGUGCCAGCCGCCGCAGUAA
rnacentral:rRNA from 1 species